rnacentral:rRNA from 1 species
GACGAACGCUGGCGGCGUGCUUAACACAUGCAAGUCGAACGGAAAGGCCCUGCUUUUGUGGGGUGCCCGAGUGGCGAACGGGUGAGUAACACGUGAGUAACCUGCCCUUGACUUUGGGAUAACUUCAGGAAACUGGGGCUAAUACCGGAUAGGAGCUCCUGCUGCAUGGUGGGGGUUGGAAAGUUUCGGCGGUUGGGGAUGGACUCGCGGCUUAUCAGCUUGUUGGUGGGGUAGUGGCUUACCAAGGCUUUGACGGGUAGCCGGCCUGAGAGGGUGACCGGCCACAUUGGGACUGAGAUACGGCCCAGACUCCUACGGGAGGCAGCGGUGGGGAAUAUUGCACAGUGGGCGGAAGCCUGAUGCAGCGACGCCGCGUGCGGGAUGACGGCCUUCGGGUUGUAAACCGCUUUCGCCUGUGACGAAGCGUGAGUGACGGUAAUGGGUAAAGAAGCACCGGCUAACUACGUG